GAGAGGCUUAAAGCAGUAAGGACUGCUAAUCCCUCCCCCCAUGGUUAA
rnacentral:tRNA from 1 species